rnacentral:miRNA from 1 species
AGAACUUGUUGAUCAUGCGUA